GGCGCUGUAGCACAGUUGGUUAGCGCGCCUGCCUCCAACCCAGAUGUAAUGGGUUCAAGGCUCAUCGCUGCUA
rnacentral:tRNA from 1 species